rnacentral:rRNA from 1 species
GGCUCAGAACGAACGCUGGCGGCGUGCUUAACACAUGCAAGUCGAACGAACCUUCGGGUUAGUGGCGGACGGGUGAGUAACGCGUGAGAAUCUGCCCUCAGGAGGGGGAUAACGGUUGGAAACGACCGCUAAUACCCCAUAUGCCGAGAGGUGAAAAGAAAUUCGCCUGAGGAUGAGCUCGCGUCUGAUUAGCUAGUUGGUGUGGUAAUGGCGCACCAAGGCUUCGAUCAGUAGCUGGUCUGAGAGGAUGAUCAGCCACACUGGGACUGAGACACGGCCCAGACUCCUACGGGAGGCAGCAGU